AUUGAACGCUGGCGGCAGGCCUAACACAUGCAAGUCGAGCGGAUGAGUGGAGCUUGCUCCAUGAUUCAGCGGCGGACGGGUGAGUAAUGCCUAGGAAUCUGCCUGGUAGUGGGGGACAACGUUUCGAAAGGAACGCUAAUACCGCAUACGUCCUACGGGAGAAAGCAGGGGACCUUCGGGCCUUGCGCUAUCAGAUGAGCCUAGGUCGGAUUAGCUAGUAGGUGAGGUAAUGGCUCACCUAGGCGACGAUCCGUAACUGGUCUGAGAGGAUGAUCAGUCACACUGGAACUGAGACACGGUCCAGACUCCUACGGGAGGCAGCAGUGGGGAAUAUUGGACAAUGGGCGAAAGCCUGAUCCAGCCAUGCCGCGUGUGUGAAGAAGGUCUUCGGAUUGUAAAGCACUUUAAGUUGGGAGGAAGGGCAGUAAGCUAAUACCUUGCUGUUUUGACGUUACCGACAGAAUAAGCACCGACUAACUCUGUGCCAGCCGCCGCGGUAAAAC
rnacentral:rRNA from 1 species